AGUGAACGCUGGCGGUAGGCCUAACACAUGCAAGUCGAACGGCAGCACAGUAAGAGCUUGCUCUUACGGGUGGCGAGUGGCGGACGGGUGAGGAAUACAUCGGAAUCUACUUUUUCGUGGGGGAUAACGUAGGGAAACUUACGCUAAUACCGCAUACGACCUACGGGUGAAAGCAGGGGAUCUUCGGACCUUGCGCGAUUGAAUGAGCCGAUGUCGGAUUAGCUAGUUGGCGGGGUAAAGGCCCACCAAGGCGACGAUCCGUAGCUGGUCUGAGAGGAUGAUCGGCCAAACUGGAACUGGACCACGGUCCAGACUCCUACGGGAGGCAGCAGUGGGGAAUAUUGGACAAUGGGCGCAAGCCUGAUCCAGCCAUACCGCGUGGGUGAAGAAGGCCUUCGGGUUGUAAAGCCCUUUUGUUGGGAAAGAAAAGCAGCAGGUUAAUACCCCGCUGUUCUGACGGUACCCAAAGAAUAAGCACCGGCUAACUUCGUG
rnacentral:rRNA from 1 species